GAUGAACGCUGGCGGCGUGCCUAAUACAUGCAAGUAGAACGCUGAAGGAGGAGCUUGCUCUUCUGGAUGAGUUGCGAACGGGUGAGUAACGCGUAGGUAACCUGCCUGGUAGCGGGGGAUAACUAUUGGAAACGAUAGCUAAUACCGCAUGACAACAGUUAUUGCAUGAUAACUGUUUAAAAGGGGCAACUGCUCCACUACCAGAUGGACCUGCGUUGUAUUAGCUAGUUGGUGAGGUAACGGCUCACCAAGGCGACGAUACAUAGCCGACCUGAGAGGGUGGGUGGCCGGACUGGGAGUGUGACACGGCCCAGUCGGCUUCGGGAGGCGGCAGUAGGGAAUCGUCGGCAAGCGGCGGAAGUCUGACCGAGCAACGCCGCGGGAGUGAAGAAGGUUUUCGGGUCGUAAAGCUCUGUUGUAAGGGAGGAACGAGUGUGAGAGUGGAAAGUUCACACUGUGACGGUAUCUGACCAGAAAGGGACGGCUAACUACGUG
rnacentral:rRNA from 1 species